CAAACAUGGCGGCCAUCAUGGAGCAUCUUCAUGAAGUCGCUCGUGAGUUAGCAAGAGAUAUUUUAGACCUUGCAGAGAAUGUAGAAGCAGGAGCUGCUCAAUCACAGCAUGUGACAAGUAAAGCAGAGGAAUUUCUGUAAGUUCUUGGAGUUAUUUCCGCUCUUUCCGACCAAGAUAUUGACCGACAAGUGUUUGCAAACUUGGAAGAACUUCUCCAGCGCUUCUCCGGUACCAGUGCACAACACACACCCGGACCAGGACGCCUGGCUCUUGACAUUCCCACUGCUGUUCUGGAGCAUCAUGUUCUUUGUGGAUUACCACCGUGUGAAAUUGCAGAGAGUUUUGGAGUGUCAACGAGGACAAUCAGGAGGCACAUGAAACAAAGUGGUCUAAGAAAGACUGAUCUCUAUUCAGAUGUUGCUGAUGAGGAGUUGGACCAUAUUGUGAGUAAAGUCCACAGAAGCCAUCCAAACACCGGCUACAAGCUGAUGCGUGGACUUCUGGAUGCAAGAGGUGUCCGUGUUCUAAGAUAGAGAGGAUGUGGAGAGAUGUUUAUGAGCAUUCCCUAGACCUCUUCUAUCAGAUCUUCACUUCACUGGAAGAUCAGGGAACACUUAAUCCAGACAACGAAGUCUAUCUUUAUGUCCUGCAUCGGAUCUUCCUUCCACAAAUUCAGAGAAGCCUCAGCUCCUUCAGAGAUGCUUGGAACUUCCAUGGACUGAGAACUGAAAGGAAUCAAUCACCGCAUCAACUCUGGAGCAGACACAGAGAGCAAGGCCCAAUGGAGGAGCCUACAGAGGUUCAAUAAAGAUUCUUCUGAGUGUACUAUUAAAACCAUAGGUUUCUCAGGAGAGCUGUCUUUGGUAGCUCAAAAAAUUUAGAAGUGUUUCUCACUAGUACUUUAUUGAAGUAUCACCUUCAGCAUGUGUUGUUCCUCAAAUCUCUUUAAAAAACACAUUUAAAAACAGAGCUGAUAAUUGGACCCACCACCUAUUAAUAGAUGGGUUUCUGUUCUCACUUUGUUUUUAUGUUGAUUUAAUGGUGAUAUCCACUUGAUGAUUAUGGUGAUUGCCACUUUACCAGUUUCAGGAGUUUCUCUGACUGAUGCAAUUGGAUCAUAUCUGGAGACAGUGCAAAUUUUGUCAAGAAUCAUAUGAGACUGAUGGCCAAACCAAGCCUUUUAUUGUGUGUUACAACAAGCACAAAUGCACUGAAAACUGAGGUUUUCUAAACCUUUCCCUUUGUCACUGUUACUGUUGUCAAAAAUGUAAAACAAUAAUCUGCACUUUUGUUGUAAGUAAAACUACUUGUUUAUGCUGAUGAAGCUAGAAAUGCAGGACUGAUACCGUUUUGGUAAAUAAACAAAAUUUUAAAAAGAACAAAAUAAUUGAAACUACUGCACAUUAUUUUAAAUGUGUUGGAACACUGAACUUGUGUCAAAUUGACCUGGUCGAUGAAACAAAGCAUAGCAAUAUCACUGCCUGAAAAUACUUAAACAAGACCAAAUCCAGUGUGUGCACUGUUAAUAGCAGCAACAAGUGCUUCCUCAAAGUCUCUAUAGGUUUUGUAAUGAGCUGGCAGCUUCAGUGUUUCGAAGCACGUGGAGGACGCAGGAAAGGUUCCCCCAGAAAUCUCCACUUUGAGUUCAGGAGGAAGCAUUUCCCAGCCGACCCAGAACUUCAGCAACUGGGCCAGUGUGUCUGAUGAAGCUAAAAAGUCAUAACAUGGAUUAAAGGAAACAGUUGGUGCACUGAAA